GUCCCGGACAAAAAAUAAUAAUUUUAGAACCCCCAGCCCAUGAAGGCCCAGUAGCCCAGCUACGUUCUUUUCCCUGAAGUUCAAUCGGCAGCCUGCCAAGCUCGCAGACCCCAACGUGCGUGUGCGACGUUUGGUUUCUAAAUCCAUCUGCUAUUUUCGCUUCCGCCUCUGACUCCCUCACGACUCGCCGCCUCCCCGACGCGACGCCGCAAGCCGCGCGCGCCAGACUGCCGACGGCCCGACGCCGUGCCAGGCGCCAACGAGGCAACGACGGUUGACGGCGAGCAGGCAGCCAGCCAGCCGCGGCAACCCAUGGAGGGAAACGACGACGGCGAGGGCGAGCAGGAGCAGUCGCACCCGCAGACAUCACGUCGGCCGGUGACCACAUUCCUCCUCCAACUCAAACCAUUGUAAGCAAGAUCCUAUUUUCUUAAUAAUCCAUGUCCCCUAAAUAAUCUUAUCUCAAAAUAACAUAGAAUUUUUUGAUGAAAUUAUGCCAAAUCCCUGUAGGAAACCAAUGCAAUCUCUAAGUGUAUGCUUGUGUGGAUAAUGAAAAAUUGGGGUAAAUUAUCAAAUUCUUGAACCACGUAUAUGUUUAUCUGGCCCCCCUCCCCCCUAAUUUUGUCCCCAGUUCCACCACUGCCUAAAGUAGCUCAUAGGUUAGCUUAAUUGGAUUAGUUCUAAGUUACAAACAUUUAUAGGUGGUGGGUAAUACACUAUAUAAACUUUAGAGCGCAUGUAGACAAUAUGAUUUAGGUUUAUUUUUGUGCAAAAUUUUAGUCUAGCACUUGAGCCCUAGGUUUAGUUUUCAAAUGUCCCAAUUCAAUCCCUCCCUAUAGAAUGACAUGGCACACCAAGUUCCUACAGUUGUGACAUGGCACCCGAACAAAUAUUUGCAGAUCCAAUCCUUUUGGUCGCGCCGAUCCGCGAUAAUCUUAGUGACUUCAAAUGAAAAAACUCCAAACUAUAAAGUUGUAGAUUUCGUCGAGAGCUACAAUUUUCAUAUAAAAAUUAUCUUCAUCCGAGUUCAUAUAAAAAAGAUAUAAUUUUUCUAUGGUGAGACCAUGUCGCGCCGGUGGGAAUGGCAUGACAAGACUGCACUGUCACGCCUGUGGGAGUGGCGCGCUGGCAGACCCCUCCCUCCUGCUCCAACGUGGCAUAUCUUGUCACGUCAAUGCAUGUGGCGUGACAGCCUGUUUUUGUUAUGCCACGCGGACCGGUGCGACCAAAAGAGUUAGUUCUGAAAAUAUUUGUUUGGGUGGGUUAUUUUUAAAAUAAAAUUUUAAAAUAGGUUAAAAAGUUCUAUGGGGACUUGAACAAACAUAUUCAUGGCGAUAAACGUAAUGGUGUUUUGCAAGAAGAAUAUCGGAUGAUUUUACUAAUCAUGUAGGCAAACACAAUGCUAAGAUAUCAAUGGAAGCGCAUGUUGCACCAAUAUUAUGAGCUAAAUUUACCCUACCAAUUUUCUUCCACUCGAGCAUAAGACCAUAUUUUUAGUUUAAUAUAUAGUCUUGGAUUUUUCUUGCACACUUGGCCUAAAAAUAUAUGCACAUGAAAAAAUAAUCAUCAAAUAUAUAUAGCCAACAAAUAAAAGCGAAUUACUUCUUACUGGACGAUUCAAACAUAAACACAUUAAUGGUAGGGUUAAUUGGAUCUGUGCCAUUACAAUUUUCCAAGUUCACUGAUCUACCAUUACAAUUCGUCUAUUUCAAACUGUGCCAUCACAAUUUUACCACUCUUCAAAACGUACCAUUACUUACCUCUUUGUUGUGUUUCUUAAAAUUUAAGGGCCAAAAUACCCUAUCUUCUUCCUCCUCUCACCGCCUCUCUUCUUCCUACCUCCCCCCCUCUCUCUCUCUCCGUGACCCGAGCAGAUCCGCCCCGCCCGCCAUGGGCCGGCGUCCCUCCAUCCCGCGCCGCCGCAAGGCCCGGCCUUGCCGUGGACGAGCUCGAAGUACUCUCGGGAGCCGAAAGGAAGGCAGCUGACACGGCGGCGCGAAGACCCCUCUCUCUUCUUCCAUGGCAUCCACGACAGCGCUCCUCCUCCAACUGCUCCGGGUGGCGGACGGCGGCCAGCCGCAACACGCUAGUGCGCGAUGUCAUCUUCCUCCUCCAGAACCAGAUGCAGAGAUGGGGGACAUUUUGUGGAGAGAUUUGAUGUGCAUGAGCUAAUCGAGAGGGCAGCGCUGACGGUGAAGCCGGUGGGCAUCGGCGGUGGUGACACUGACACCGCCAGCACAGCGGCACCCACGACGAGUUCCGACAAGAAGAGGCAGGAUGGGGCGAGCAGCAGCUGCCCGUAGCUGAGGCCCCAUCGACCGUUCAGGCAGAGCUGCUGACGGCGCGGCGUCGGCAUGAGCGUGGAGCACUGAGAACGGCGAGGCGCCGCGGCUGCGUGCUCCCAUCGGCACGGUUGAGGCCCUGGAGUUCACCGACAACGACGGCGCAGCACCCUCCGUCCUCGACGUGCAGCUCCGACGACCAGGAGCGGCGUGGGAUGGAGGGGCCCUGGCCGAUAGGGGUUGCGGCGGAUUUGCCCGCGCCAUGGAGAGUUGAGGCAUGAAGGAGAGAUGGGAUGACAGGAGGAAGAAGAUGGAGGUAUUUUUGUCUAUAAAUUUUAAGAAACACAGUGAAGAGGUAAUUAGUGGUGUAUUUUGAAGUGUUGUAAAAUUGUGAUGGCACGAUUCGAAAUAGACGAAUUGUAAUGGUACAUCAGUGAACUUGGAAAAUUGUAAUGCACAGAUUCAAUUAACCCUUAAUGGUAUAUGAGGGAUUAUGAGUUUUCUCGA